rnacentral:sRNA from 1 species
GCUGGGCGAAGUGGCACACGCCUGUAAUCCCAGCAACUCGGGAGGCUGAGGCAGGAGGAUCACAAGUUCUAGAUCAGCCUCAUGGACUUAGUGAGGCUCUAAGCAACUUAGCAAGACCUGUCUCAA